rnacentral:rRNA from 1 species
GAUGAACGCUGGCGGCGUGCCUAAUACAUGCAAGUAGAACGCUGAAGGAGGAGCUUGCUCUUCUGGAUGAGUUGCGAACGGGUGAGUAACGCGUAGGUAACCUGCCUGGUAGCGGGGGAUAACUAUUGGAAACGAUAGCUAAUACCGCAUGACAACAGUUAUUGCAUGAUAACUGUUUAAAAGGGGCAACUGCUCCACUACCAGAUGGACCUGCGUUGUAUUAGCUAGUUGGUGAGGUAACGGCUCACCAAGGCGACGAUACAUAGCCGACCUGAGAGGGUGAUCGGCCACACUGGAACUGGGACACGGCCCAGACUCCUACGGGAGGCAGCAGUAGGGAAUCUUCGGUAAUGGACGGAGGUCUGACCGAGCAACGCGCGUGAGUGAAGAAGGUUUUCGGAUCGUAAAGCUCUGUUGUAAGAGAAGAACGAGUGUGAGAGUGGAAAGUUCACACUGUGACGGUAUCUUACCAGAAAGGGACGGCUAACUACGUG